rnacentral:rRNA from 1 species
CAGCAGCCGCGGUAAUAUGAAGGGUGCAAGCGUUAAUCGGAAUUACUGGGCGUAAAGCGUGUGCAGGCGGUUCUAUAAGACAGAUGUGAAAUCCCCGGGCUCAACCUGGGAACUGCAUUUGUGACUGUAGAGCUCGAGUACGGUAGAGGGGGAUGGAAUUCCGCGUGUAGCAGUGAAAUGCGUAGAUAUGCGGAGGAACACCGAUGGCGAAGGCAAUCCCCUGGACCUGUACUGACGCUCAUGCACGAAAGCGUGGGGAGCAAACAGGAUUAGAUACCCCCGUAGUCCCUGUCUCUUAUAC